UACGUAGGGACCAAGCGUUGUUCGGAAUUACUGGGCGUAAAGGGCUCGUAGGCGGCCAACUAAGUCGGACGUGAAAUCCCCAGGCUCAACCUGGGAACUGCGUCCGAUACUGGAUGGCUUGAAUUCGGGAGAGGGAUGCAGAAUUCCAGGUGUAGCGGUGAAAUGCGUAGAUAUCUGGAGGAAUACCGGUGGCGAAGGCGGCAUCCUGGACCGACAUUGACGCUGAGGAGCGAAAGCUAGGGGAGCAAACGGG
rnacentral:rRNA from 1 species